GGAUACCCGAGGGAAACUUCGGUUAAUACGGUAUAAGACCACACUACCGCAUGGUAGAGGGGUAAAAGGGGCAACCUGGUAUGAGAUGGACUCGCGUCGCAUUAGCUAGUUGGUGAGGUAACGGCCCACCAAGGCGACGAUGCGUAGCCGACCUGAGAGGGUGAUCGGCCACAUUGGGACUGAGAUACGGCCCAGACUCCUACGGGAGGCAGCAGUGGGGUAUAUUGGGCAAUGGAGGAAACUCUGACCCAGCAAUGCCGCGUGAAUGAAGAAGGUCUUCGGAUUGUAAAGUUCUUUAGUCAGGGAAGAAGUCAAUGACGGUACCUGAAGAAUAAGCUCCGGCUAACUACGUGCCAGCAGCCGCGGUAAUACGUAGGGAGCAAGCGUUGUUCGGAAUGACUGGGCGUAAAGGGUGCGUAGGCGGUUGUACAAGUUAGAAGUGAAAACCCAGGGCUUAACUCGGGUGCUGCUUCUAAAACUGUAUGACUUGAGUGCAGUAGAGGUUAGUGGAAUUCCUAGUGUAGCGGUGGAAUGCGUAGAUAUUAGGAGGAACACCAGAGGCGAAGGCGGCUAACUGGACUGCAACUGACGCUGAGGCACGAAAGUGUGGGGAGCAAACAGGAUUAGAUACCCUGGUAGUCCACACUGUAAACGAUGGAUACUAGAUGUAGGAGGUAUCGACUCCUUCUGCGUCGCAG
rnacentral:rRNA from 1 species